AGUGAACGCUGGCGGUAGGCCUAACACAUGCAAGUCGAACGGCAGCACAGUAAGAGCUUGCUCUUACGGGUGGCGAGUGGCGGACGGGUGAGGAAUACAUCGGAAUCUACUUUUUCGUGGGGGAUAACGUAGGGAAACUUACGCUAAUACCGCAUACGACCUACGGGUGAAAGCAGGGGAUCUUCGGACCUUGCGCGAUUGAAUGAGCCGAUGUCGGAUUAGCUAGUUGGCGGGGUAAAGGCCCACCAAGGCGACGAUCCGUAGCUGGUCUGAGAGGAUAAUCAGCCACACUGGAACUGAGACACGGUCCAGACUCCUACGGGAGGCAGCAGUGGGAAUAUUGGACAAUGGGCGCAAGCCUGAUCCAGCCAUACCGCGUGGGUGAAGAAGGCCUUCGGGUUGUAAAGCCCUUUUGUCGGGAAAGAAAAGCAGCAGGUUAAUACCCCGCUGUUCUGACGGUACCCAAAGAAUAAGCACCGGCUAACUUCGUG
rnacentral:rRNA from 1 species